GACGAAGGGUGCUAGCGUUGUUCGGAAUCACUGGGCGUAAAGGGCGCGUAGGCGGGCUGUUAAGUUGGGGGUGAAAGCCUUCGGCUCAACCCGAGAAGUGCCUUUGAGACUGGUGGACUAGAGCGAGAGAGGGGCAUGUGGAACUGCCAGUGGAGCGGUGAAAUGCGUUGAUAUUGGAAGGAACGCAGGUGGCGAAAGCGACGUGCUGGAUCUGUUCUGACGCUGAGGCGCGAAAGCGAGGGGAGCAAACGGG
rnacentral:rRNA from 1 species